rnacentral:lncRNA from 1 species
CCCAUAUAGCCCAUAAUGUACAGCAAAACAUCCUACACUGAGAUUCCGAGUUCUUCACAAAAACUUCGGUGAGCCACUCUGCAAACUCCAUCUGUUGUUCGUGCAUCAAAACAUUACAUGGUAAUUCCUUCCAUACUAAUUUUGACUCAGGGCAUUCUCAGAAAAGGUGAUUCAUACUCUCUGAACCAACUCCACAUCGUGGACACACUGUAGUGUUUAUUAGCUUUUUCUGAAAUAGAUUAACUCGUGUAGCUAAAAAAUUCCACGAUAUCUUCCAGAUUGUAAUUUUGAUUUUUAAGGGAAGAUUUAGCAGCCAUAAUUUCCUGUAGAAUUCCUUGUAGCCUUCUUGUAAAGCAUAAGCUCUAGGGUCAUCCUCGAUAUUCUGUAAUAGUUUAUAGGAGCUC